AGAUGGGGAUCUCACUCUGUUGCCCAGGCUGGUCUCAAACUCCUGGCUUCAAGCAAUCCUCCUGCUUCGGCCUCCCAAACUUCUGGGAUUACAGAUAUGAGCCACCACGGCUGGCUGACAGGCACCAAAUUCUAGGAGAGGACUUGAAUAGACUCCCAAGGAGGCAGCAGAAACUGGGGUAAUCACAACGGUCAACAGCAGCAAAGGCAGCACUUUCUGAUUUACUUGACUGCUAUGGAUGCCACCUCUCUCCACGCCUCAGUUUAAUAUCUGACAGGAGGUGUCCUGGUGAUCAGCUGGAGCUCGGGGGAGCUGUUGCUGAAAUUAACUUGAGUGCUUUGGAGAGAGAUUUACAUGGCAGAGUGGAGCCAGGGCUGCUCCUUUGGCAGGCACUGCUGUGCCACUGUGGAGGCGCCCCUGCUUUUCCCAUGCUUUGCAGUGUCUUUAAAGGCCUUUGGAGCCAUGCCCAGGCUCAGCCCCAUCCUGGUGUCCCCCUGUGUCCGUUUUGCCACUGCCCGGCUACUUCACUUGGCCAUGGGCCUUACCAGCUUGCAGACAAACCCGUCCAUCUACGCCUCCCAGCGCAGCUUGGCCCACUUGCAAGCACUUACAGAGGGUUUCAGAAGGAACAUGUCUGCCAUCUGUGUUUGGAGACUGUGUCCCAGACUUUUGAGCUCACAUUAGUCAUGGCCACAGACGGGACUGGAGUCCUGCCCACUGGAGUCCCAAAGGUCUCUGGUGUUUGUUUU
rnacentral:lncRNA from 10 species